CUAAAACCAGUAGUUCGAAAGAUAUAUUUAAAAAUAAAAGAUAAAAAUCCAAAAAAUUAAUUAUCUAUUAACGUGGAUUUGGACGACAAUAGGUUUUUAGUUUGUGAUGUUUCAUGUGAUGAUCAUUUUCAUGUUCAUCGUCUUUGAAUUGACAUGAGGAUAUCUAUGGAAAAGUAACUAAUCUGAAAGUAAGCCAACAUAUCGUUUGUCCUUUGUGUGCUAAAGAAAAGAUUUUCUUUUCGCAUCAUGAGGAAGUAUUACAUCAAUUAAAAAAUGUUAGGAAGUUGAUUACUUGUCAUGGAAAAGUAUACCAAUGGAAAUUAUUUGUUAAAGAAGUAUAAUUCUAAGGGUUUUAAGAAUAAAUUGGUUGAACCCAAAAUCUGGAGGAAGUACCUAUAUCCAUACACAGAAUAUGCCCAUUAAAAAUACUAGUCCAAAUUUGCUUUAAUGGUAGACAAUUAUUCAAUACAAAUUAACUUUUUAAGUGACUGAAAUAUUAAAUAGUUUAGAAUAUGGUAUAACAAUGUAAAAAAAUAUUAUUUUCAGGAACGAUUAGGGCCCGAUAUAUUUGAAACUCAUGUUGGACAUAGUAUUGAGUUGGGUAGAAUAUUAUUCUACGUUAAGUGAGGGUAUCAGAUACCUAUUAUUGUACUGUAUUUUAAUAUAUACAUUAGAAUUGUUGGUUUUUU